ensembl:snRNA U6 U6 spliceosomal RNA
GUGCUCGCUUCAGCAGCUCAUGUACUAAAAGUGGAACAAGACAGAGAAGAUAAGCAUGACCCUGCUCAAGGAUGACAUGCAAAUUCAUGAAGCGAUCCAUAUUUUU